rnacentral:lncRNA from 1 species
GAGAAUUGAAACCGUAGUCACAAACGUAAACACUUCACAACAAGUCAAUAUUUAACAGAAAUAAACCAAAUAUAGCAACAAUGUAAAGGUCUAGGCCUAGCAUGCUCACAAAGAGAACAGGUAUUUGCAAUUUAGUCAGAUAGAGCAAAUAAAUUACUAACAUAUUUUUCCUAAGCUAAGCAAGUAGAAUCACAUUUUUAACAGUUAAAUACACGAAGAAACACAAUCUAAAUAAGUCAAGUAAGGUGAAUUUUCAG